AAACAAAACCGAUGGAAGCGCCAUCGGUGGCCGAUCGACCACCUACAAAAAAAUUGAAUCCACCGUUAAAAAGCUGAACGAUGGAACAUGUGUUGAGUGUGACGUCUGUUUCUCUGUGCCAAAAGCUUUCAUUCAAGAAACUCUGUGGAGAAAGCGCCAGCGUAGACGUAUCCGCGUUGUUUCAAGAACGUGAAAUCAUUUCCUGUAUUGUAUGAAAGCAAUACGAAAGCCUGGAUGACUUCCGUUAUUUUCGAAAAGUGGUUGAUUGGAUGAAAAAUUCGAACGAGAAGAUCGUCGGGUGUUGAUGUUCGUAGAUAACUGUACGGCUCAUCCAAAAGCUGUACAGCAGAAACUCAAAUGCAUCACACUAAUGUUUUUUUUACGCCGAACGCUACAUCAGUGCUCCAACCGUUGGAUCUCGGCAUCAUCAAAACACUCAAGUACCAUUAUCGAUAUUCUCUUGUAAAACGACGACUGCACGAAAUGGAACAAACCAAGGAUUAUUCAGAAAUUACAGUACUGGAUGCAAUAAACGGACGAGCCUGGGAAAUGGACCUCAAACCAUCAACAAUAUCGAACUGCUUCCGGAAGGGUGGAUUCGCUUUCAAUGAUGAACCAGACAUAUUCCCAGAAUCAGGAUCCCAAGAUCAUGCUUCUGAUACAAAAAUGUUUGACCUGGAUUUAAAGGUAUCUUUUCAAGCCUAUUGCGAUAUUGAUUCAAAUGCAGUCCAUGCAGUUUCAUCUGCAAUCUAUUCAUAACGCACUAGCGGCUACAGAUAAUGUACCUCCGGAAAUUUUCCGAAAAUUCUAUGCGGUUGAAAGGUUCUUGAACGAACGUUGUAACGCAGAAUUUAUAUAAUAAAAACUGAAAUAAUAAACAUGUAAAUAAAUAGAAUAUUAAAAAAAAA